rnacentral:rRNA from 1 species
GUGAAAGCCCAUCGCUCAACGGUGGAACGGCCAUUGAUACUGUCUGACUUGAAUUAUUAGGAAGUAACUAGAAUAUGUAGUGUAGCGGUGAAAUGCUUAGAGAUUACAUGGAAUACCAAUUGCGAAGGCAGGUUACUACUAAUAUAUUGACGCUGAUGGACGAAAGCGUGGGUAGCGAACAGGAUUAGAUACCCUGGUAGUCCACGCCGUAAACGAUGGAUACUAGCUGUUGGGAGCAAUCUCAGUGGCUAAGCGAAAGUGAUAAGUAUCCCACCUGGGGAGUACGUUCGCAAGAAUGAAACUCAAAGGAAUUGACGGGGGCCCGCACAAGCGGUGGAGCAUGUGGUUUAAUUCGAUGAUACGCGAGGAACCUUACCAAGGCUUAAAUGUAGAUUGACCGGUUUGGAAACAGACUUUUCGCAAGACAAUUUACAAGGUGCUGCAUGGUUGUCGUCAGCUCGUGCCGUGAGGUGUCAGGUAAGUCCUAUAACGAGCGCAACCCCUGUUGUUAGUUGCCAGCGAGUCAUGUCGGGAACUCUAACAAGACUGCCAGUGCAAACUGUGAGGAAGGUGGGGAUGACGUCAAAUCAUCACGGCCCUUACGCCUUGGGCUACACACGUGCUACAAUGGCCGGUACAGAGAGCAGCCACUGGGCGACCAGGAGCGAAUCUAUAAAACCGGUCACAGUUCGGAUCGGAGUCUGCAACUCGACUCCGUGAAGC